rnacentral:lncRNA from 1 species
CAAACGUGUGCUCUUCCUGUGCCACGAACUUAAUCAAGUUGUGUAGUCUUAAUUGAAUGUGAGUGUGAAAGCGUGAGCCGUUCUGCGAAUUCGGAGCUGAACCACCGAAGAGUAAGUGCGAGAGAGAGAGA